rnacentral:rRNA from 1 species
AGUGAACGCUGGCGGUAGGCCUAACACAUGCAAGUCGAACGGCAGCACAGUAAGAGCUUGCUCUUACGGGUGGCGAGUGGCGGACGGGUGAGGAAUACAUCGGAAUCUACUUUUUCGUGGGGGAUAACGUAGGGAAACUUACGCUAAUACCGCAUACGACCUACGGGUGAAAGCAGGGGAUCUUCGGACCUUGCGCGAUUGAAUGAGCCGAUGUCGGAUUAGCUAGUUGGCCGGGUAAAGGCCCACCCAGGCGACGAUCCGUAGCCGGUCUGAGAGGAUGAUCAGCCCAACGUGAACUGAGACACGGGUCAGACUCCCACGGGAGGGAGGAGUUGGGAAUUUUUGGCAAUGGGGGGAAGCCUUAACCAGGCAAUCCGGGGGGGUGAAGAAGGCCUUCGGGUUGUAAAGCCCUUUUGUUGGGAAAGAAAAGCAGCAGGUUAAUACCCCGCUGUUCUGACGGUACCCAAAGAAUAAGCACCGGCUAACUUCGUG